CUCUCUCUCUUCAGCCGACAGCGCGACCACCCUCGCCGUCCCGCGACAGAGAGCAGCGGUUGGUCAGGCCGCCUCCCUCCAUCCCAGAUUCGGCGCUGCUGCUGUACUUCUUCCUGUCUCCGGCUGCCGUGGCGCACAGCGCGCGGCGGUGCUGCUGCUCCACCGCCCCUCCCCCCUGUUCUAAGCCACAACCCCUUUCCAGUUC
rnacentral:lncRNA from 1 species